ACUCGAGCUCUUGUGACCAGCUUUGAAAAUAGUGGAGGAGACAUAUAUUUCUUUCGAUUUCGACCAGAAGCCUAGGCUGCUGUCUUCCCCCUGGCCCCCAGUUCUGCGUUUUGUUUGUUUUAGAAUGUCUUUAGUACCGUUAUCUAGCAUCGCCACUUUUUUCAGUGGAGAACCAAGGCUGAUCCAGCGUGGAGAAAAUGCACACUCUUCGAACCGCGUGGAAUCAUUUCUGUUUCACCAUGAGCUUGGGCACAUUACUGCCAAGAUCCACGCAAGCCGGACAAGAGAUAUGAUGUGGAGAUCGAACUUGGUUCUGAAGGUGGCGUUGUACGCGCUUCGUGCACUUGUCCCAAAGGCCAAGGACGGUGCCACCACAUGGCUGCAGCCCUUGUCUACGCGAACAAGAAUGUGAGCAGCACGGACAGGGAAUGUUCUUGGACUGUACGGAAGGGAACCAAUGAAACAAAGACUGUGGAUGACAUUUUCCCGAAGUCGAAGCCGUUUUGUGGCAUUUCACAUACCUGCAGGCUCCAUUACAGCCAUUUUCCCAUUGUAGCCAUUUUCCCAUUGCAGCCAUUUUCCCAUUGCAGCCAUUUUCCCAUUACAGCCAUUUUCCCAUUACAGCCAUUUUCCCAUUGCUCGUUUUUCUCGUUUAACCCUGAUGAUGAGCCCAUGGCGGAAAAUUA